AUUGAACGCUGGCGGCAUGCCUUACACAUGCAAGUCGAACGGCAGCACGGACUUCGGUCUGGUGGCGAGUGGCGAACGGGUGAGUAAUAUAUCGGAACAUACCUUGUAGUGGGGGAUAACUAUCCGAAAGGAUAGCUAAUACCGCAUACGCUCUAAGGAGGAAAGCGGGGGAUCGUAAGACCUCGUGCUAUAAGAGUGGCCGAUAUCUGAUUAGCUAGUUGGUGAGGUAAAGGCUCACCAGGGCGACGAUCAGUAGCUGGUCUGAGAGGACGACCAGCCACACUGGAACUGAGACACGGUCCAGACUCCUACGGGAGGCAGCAGUGGGGAAUUUUGGACAAUGGGGGCAACCCUGAUCCAGCAAUGCCGCGUGAGUGAAGAAGGCCUUCGGGUUGUAAAGCUCUUUUGUCAGGGAGGUAACGGUUGUGGCUAAUAUCCAUGGCUAAUGACGGUACCUGAAGAAUAAGCACCGGCUAACUACGUGCCAGCAGCCGCCGUAAAAC
rnacentral:rRNA from 1 species